CUAUAGCAGCUAUCACUUUAGCAAUGAAUGAGGAUAAUUUUAAGACUAAACAUCAAACGUAUGCAUCGACGAUGAUGUCCCCUUAUUUAAACUUUGACCCUUCACUAUUAUAUAAGAAUGAACCAGAAUUCAUACUUCCUGAAGGGGCAAAUAAGCAACGAGGACGUUUUGAACUUGCUUUUUCUCAAAUAGGAUCGUCAGUAAUUGCAGGCUCAGCAAUUGGAGGAAUAAAUGGGCUAUACAAUGGAUUGAAAGAAACACAUGUGGCUGAUCUAAAAGGCACAGUCAAAAGAACUCAACUUCUAAAUUUUAUGACUAGACAAGGAGCUGGCACAGCAAACAUAUUAGGAAUCAUGGCUUUAAUGUAUAGUAGUUUUGGUGUGUUGUUAUCUUGGGCAAGGGGCAAAGAUGAUGAAAUAAAUACGAUAACUUCAGCAACCUUAACGGGGGCCUUAUUUAAAUCAACAAAUAUCCUGUUCGCAUAAGUAAUGGCAAGAAUUAUAAUUAAAAAGAGUCCUCAAUAUUAGAUCUAUCAAACGCCUCUUACAUUUGCACACAGCAAAUUGUUGGGACCCAUGAAGCCGGACCUCGCAAAGUUUUAGUCGGCAGUCUUUUCGGGUUUGGCCUUUCUUCCGCAUAUUGCGCCUUCACAAAUCGCGAUAAAAUAAGAUCGAUCGUGCAAUCAAAAUCUUUUUUUAGUUAAAGUUUUGAC